rnacentral:rRNA from 1 species
CAGCCGCCGCGGUAAUACAGAGGGUGCGAGCGUUAAUCGGAUUUACUGGGCGUAAAGCGUGCGUAGGCGGCUAAUUGAGUCGGAUGUGAAAUCCCCGAGCUUAACUUGGGAAUUGCAUUCGAUACUGGUUAGCUAGAGUGUGGGAGAGGAUGGUAGAAUUCCAGGUGUAGCGGUGAAAUGCGUAGAGAUCUGGAGGAAUACCGAUGGCGAAGGCAGCCAUCUGGCCUAACACUGACGCUGAGGUACGAAAGCAUGGGGAGCAAACAGGAUUAGAUACCCCAGUAGUCUCUGUCUCUUAUAC